rnacentral:rRNA from 1 species
AUUGAACGCUGGCGGCAGGCCUAACACAUGCAAGUCGAGCGAGCGGCGGACGGGUGAGUAAUGUCUGGGGACUGCCCGAUAGAGGGGGAUAACUACUGGAAACGGUGGCUAAUACCGCAUACUAUCGGAUAACCCAUAUGGGAUUAGCUAGUAGGUGGGGUAAUGGCUCACCUAGGCGACGAUCCCUAGCUGGUCUGAGAGGAUGAUCAGCCACACUGGGACUGAGACACGGCCCAGACUCCUACGGAGGCAGCAGUGGGGAAUAUUGCACAAUGGGCGCAAGCCUGAUGCAGCCAUGCCGCGUGUAUGAAGAAGGCCUUAGGGUUGUAAAGUACUUUCAGCCGGGAGGCGUUACCCGCAGAAGAAGCACCGGCUAACUCCGUGCCAGCAGCCGCGGUAAUUC